CACAGUUUGGAUCCAGGUAUCUAAGGGACCAAGCAUGUUUCUGCUUGGUUUUAAGGUUUUCAGUAGUGCCCUUUCUUUCUGUCCCAUCUCUCUCAACAGGCUCAUUUGAAAGCCCAUACUUAGUGGUUAUCCCUCCAACUUCCAAACCCAACAGGCACUUAGCCAUUGCUAUUCCCAGCCCAGAAAAUGGAUCUUUGGUUCGUAAUGGAUUCUUUCUCCAAAGGAAAACACACGUAACACAUACAACUUCCUCCAAAACACCGAAAAGGGAUCAUGGAGUGCAGCAAAAGGUGCAGAGGCACUUAUGGUGCAGAUUGGCAUCCCCAAGGAUAACCCAUGUUACAUAUGCCAUUCACAACUUGGAAUUGGAAGUGGGAAAGAGAAAGAAAAACUAAGGAAGACUCUCUCUUGGUGGCAAUGGAGAAAAGGAAUACGGUAUACUACUUACCUUAGAA